UACGUAGGGUGCGAGCGUUGUCCGGAAUUAUUGGGCGUAAAGAGCUCGUAGGCGGUCUGUCGCGUCGGCUGUGAAAACUCGGGGCUCAACCCCGAGCCUGCAGUCGAUACGGGCAGACUAGAGUGCUGUAGGGGAGACUGGAAUUCCUGGUGUAGCGGUGAAAUGCGCAGAUAUCAGGAGGAACACCAGCGGCGAAGGCGGCGCUCUGGGCCGGAACUGACGCUGAGGAGCGAAAGCGUGGGUAGCAAACAGG
rnacentral:rRNA from 1 species